AAAUUAGCUUUAAUCCACAUAUAAUUUUUCUUUUAUGAUCCAUGUCGAAUCAAAACUAUGAAUCGUUAUCUAUCUAUUUAAAAUUUGGAUCAGGAAAUUUGACUCGUAUCUGAUCCUGAAUGGAAAAUCUUUCACUCAAAUCCAGUCCAGAUAGGUCCGGUCGGGUUUACAGAUUCGAUCCGGUCGACCUGGCAAAGUGUGUGGGAAAUGUGGGAUGUGGACCUCAAGGAUGCUGACCCUACUCACCCAACCAGGUCGUCUCGAGCGCGUAGGUCGGACACGGGCGAGACCCAACUUGAGUCGUUCGGGCGUCGUACAUAAACCUUCUGUAACCCGUCUCUUCUUUCAAGGAAACGAAGGCCGCCGGCGAUAGCCAAGCGAAGAAGAAUGGGAGGAGAAGGUGUGGUCACCCCCGGCGAGGUGGUGGGCGAGUCCAACCAGCUGAUCGCCGGGAGGGGAGUGUACCUGGCACCCAACGGGCGCACCCUGCGCGCUUCCCUCACCGGCCUCCGCAAGAUCCUCCCUCCUCCCCCGGACUCCUCCGACCAGAGAUCCACCGUGGAAGUCGUAGGGCACAAGGCCCAUGGAGCUGUCCCGCAACCGGGGUCUGUGGUCAUCGCUCGAGUGACAAAAGUGAUGGCCAGGAUGGCUUCAGCUGAUAUAAUGUGUGUCGAGUCCAAAGCUGUGAGGGAAAAGUUUACGGGCAUAAUUAGGCAACAAGAUGUUCGUGCAACUGAAAUUGAUAAAGUGGAUAUGUAUUUGUCAUUUCGUCCUGGUGACAUUGUCAGAGCCUUAGUUCUCUCUCUUGGAGAUGCAAGGGCAUAUUACCUUUCCACUGCAAAGAAUGAAUUGGGAGUGGUAUCAGCUCAAAGUAUAGCAGGUGCUACUAUGGUUCCAAUCAGUUGGACAGAGAUGCAAUGCCCACUGACUGGCCAGGUUGAACGGAGAAAAGUUGCGAAGGCAGACUAGAUAUAUUGCCUUUUGGGAGAUGAAGCAGACAAAGGGUGAUGAAUGAGCAAUAUUGUGGAUGUCUGCUUAUUUGCGUUGUGUUGAAUGGUAUUGAUUCCUUUAGCCAGGGAAAUGGGUUCACAUUUGCUUAUGUCAGAGAACUCAUUUAACAUUGUUUGAAGGUACCUUAAAGUAGCCGAUAAAUAUAUUAUCAGUUAUGAGAAUUUUCUUCAGCAAACAUUGUAAGACUACUAGGAUUUUUUUUAAAAAAAUUAUUCUUAUACUUAAUGUGCUGAUUUCUGGAAA